CCUACGGGACGCACCAGUGGGGAAUAUUGGACAAUGGGCGAAAGCCUGAUCCAGCAAUGCCGCGUGUGUGAAGAAGGUCUUCGGAUUGUAAAGCACUUUCGACGGGGACGAUGACGACGGUACCCNUAGAAGAAGCCCCGGCUAACUACGUGCCAGCAGCCGCGGUAAUACGAAGGGGGCUAGCGUUGCUCGGAAUGACUGGGCGUAAAGGGCGCGUAGGCGGUUUAUGCAGUCAGAUGUGAAUUCCCCGGGCUUAACCUGGGAACUGCAUUUGAGACGCAUAGACUAGAGGUCGAGAGAGGGUUGUGAAAUUCCCAGUGUAGAGGUGAAAUUCGUAGAUAUUGGGAAGAACACCGGUGGCGAAGGCGGCAACCUGGCUCGAUACUGACGCUGAGGCGCGAAAGCGUGAGGAGCAAACAGGAUUAGAUACCCCCGUAGUC
rnacentral:rRNA from 1 species